GGCGGGGCACGCGUGCGCAGUCACGCGCUGCGCCAACCACCACCGCUCCGGGAAGGCGGCCAGGACCGGCUAGAGCCGGUUAGAACCGGUGGCUCCAGCCCACGAGCCAGCGCCUCACAAAGGGAAGGCGGCUCACGGCCCUCGCGUAUCCCUGCGCGGCGGUCGCGAGCCGCCCCUCCCCCGGCCUUUGCCCCUCCCCCGGCCUUUGUCCCUUCCGCACCCGGCUGCCGCCUCUCUCCCCGCCCCCGCUUUCUCCUCCGCGGCCUGCAUUGGUCUCUCACCUGCACCCUUAGGCGCCGCGCCAUUUUAGCAACGCGGAAGCCGGGCGCCGGGAACCCUCAGCCCGCCUGUAGGCAGGUCCUCUCUGCUGCCUCCCGAAGCCCAGGUUUCCCUGCGUCCUUGGGACGCAGCGACGAGCUGUACUGUUUCCUCAGUCGUCCCUUUAGAGGCAUUUCAUCCUUCAUGAAGCUGUUCAGGAUUUUGAAUUGCAUAUGAGUGCUUGGCUCUUCCUUCUGUUCUCCUAGUGAGUGUAUGAGACCUUGCAGUGAGUUUAUCAGCAUACUCAAAAUUUUUUUCCUGGAAUUUGGAGGGGGAUGGGAGGAGGGGGUGGGGCUUACUUCUUUUAGCUUUUUUUUUUACAGACUUCACAGAGAAUGCAGUUGUCUUGACUUCAGGUCUGUCUGUUCUGUUGGCAAGUAAUAAUGCAGUACUGUUCUGAUCCCGCUGCUAUUAGAAUGCAUUGUGAAACGACUGGAGUAUGAUUAAAAGUUGUGUUCCCCAAUGCUUGGAGUAGUGAUUGUUGAAGGAAAAAAUCCAGCUGAGUGAUAAAGGCUGAGUGUUGAGGAAAUUUCUGCAGUUUUAAGCAGUCGUGUUUGUGAUUGAAGCUAAGUACAUUUUGCCAUGCAUUUUUAGGUAAAAUGCUUUUUGUUCAUUUCUGGUGGUGGUGGGGGGAACUGAAGCCUUUAGUCUUUUCCAGAUGCAACCUUAAAAUCAGUGACAAGAAACAAAUUCCAAACAAGCAACAGUCUUCAAGAAAUUUAACUGGCAAGUGGAAAUGUUUAACAGUUCAGUGAUCUUUAGUGCAUUGUUUUUGUGUGGGUUUCUCUCUCCCCUCCCUUGGUCUUAAUUCUUACAUGCAGGAACACUCAGAACAGCAAACAUAACCUAUGCGAAGGGCCAGAGAAGCCAGACCCAGUAAGAAAAAAUAGCCUAUUUACUUUAAAUAAACCAAACAUUCCAUUGUAAAUGUGGGGAUUGGGAACCACUAGUUCUUUCAGAUGGUAUUCUUCAGACUAUAGAAGGAGCUUCCAGUUGAAUUCACCAGUGGACAAAAUGAGGACAACAGGUGAACAAGCUUUUUCUGUAUUUACAUGCAAAGUCAGAUCAGUUUUGGGACAAUAGUAUUGAAUAGAAUUCAGCUUUAUGCUGGAGUAAUUGGCAUGUGAGCAAGCUGUGUUGUCGUGGGGGUGGAGGGGUGAGGUGGGCGCUAAGCCUUUUUUUUAAGAUUUUUCAGGUACCCCUCACUAAAGGCACCGAAGGCUUAAAGUAGGACAACCAUGGAGCCUUCCUGUGGCAAGAGAGACAACAAAGCGCUAUUAUCCUAAGGUCAAGAAAAGUGGUGUCAGCCUCACCUGAUUUUUAUUAGUAAUGAGGACUUGCCUCAACUCUUUCUGGAGUGAAGCAUCCAAAGGAAUGCUUGAAGUAUCCCUGGGCUUCUCUUAACAUUUAAGCAAGCUGUUUUUAUAGCAGCUCUUAAUAAAGCCCAAAUCUCAAGCGGUGCUUGAAGGGGAGGGAAAGGGGGAAAGCGGGCAACCAGUUUUCCCUAGCUUUUCCAGAAGCCUGUUAAAAGCAAGGUCUCCCCACAAGCAACUUCUCUGCCACAUCGCCACCUGUGCCUUUUGAUCUAGCACAGACCCUUCACCCCUCACCUCGAUGCAGCCGGUAGCUUGGAUCCUUGUGGGCAUGAUCCAUAAUCGGUUUCAAGGUAACAAUGGUGCCGAGGUCUUUGGUGGGUUGCACUGUAUUAGAAAAGGCCAUUAAUUUGCCUGCAAAUUGUUAACAGAAGGAUAUUAAAACCACAGCUAAGUAGUUCUAUGUAACACCUAUCCAGUGACUAAAACCAACUUAAACCUGUAAGUGGAGAAAUAACAUCAAGAACUGUAAUGCUGGGUGGGAACAUGUAACUUGUAGACUGGAGAAGAUAGGUAUUUGAGUGGCUGAGAGGGCUGUUGGGUGGGAAUGCAAAAAUUCUCUGCUAAGACUCUUUCAGGUGAACAUAACAGAGUUGGCCAAGCUAGCAUCUUAGCGGAAGCUGAUCUCCAAUGCUCUUCAGUAGGGUCAUGAAGGUUUUUCUUUUCCUGAGAAAACAACACGUUUUGUUUUCUCAGGUUUUGCUUUUGGCCUUUUCUAGCUUUAAAAAAAAAAAGCAAAAGAUGCUGGUGGUUGGCACUCCUGGUUUCCAGGACGGGGUUCAAAUCCCUGCGGCAUCUUUGCUUUGACUACUAAUCUGUCUUCAGGACUCCGUAUUUCUUCUUUUCUCUGCAGGUGCUAGUUCUUGGAGUUUUGGGGAGGUGGGAGGUACAGCACAGUAUCCAUGAACUAUAUACGUCCUUGAUGUAUAAUUUGUCAGAAGUUUGACUUGAUUGUAUAUUCAUAUUUACACGAGAACUUAAUGUAACUGCCUUGUCUUUUUCAGGUAAUACCAUGCAGCUGGCGUUUUGAGAAACCCUACUGCUGAAAACUUAAUUUUAUGUAAUAAAAAUGGAGAAGCUCUAAAUUACUGUGGUUCUUUGGUGUAUAAACAAAUCUGAGUAGAUUGGGAAAAAAGAUCGGUGUUCUGUGGGCUUGUUCCUGUUAAAUCUGGUCUACAAAUACACAGCUCCCUUAAUUACAGCAUCAUCUUCAAGUAGGGUAGGGACUUGGGGGAUUGGUGUGAGGGUAGUGGGUGAGUGGCCUACUAAAGCCCAGUAACCCGCACAGAAAAUGGGGAACUUCCUUUAGCCUCUUUUCCACUAGUAAUUGGCUGUGAGCCGGGCUGGGGGUGUGUGUGUGUGUCAUUGGAAAGAUCUCUUUUGUUUUUUUGAGAGUCACUGUCGCCCAGGCUGGAGUGUAGUGGCAUGAUCUCAGCAAACUGCAGCCUCCACUUUUGGGGUCCAAGUGAUUCUCCUGCUUCACCCUCCCUGUAGCUGGGACUAUAGGUGCACACCACCAUGCCUGGCUAAUUUUUGUAUUUUCAGUUAGAGACGUGAUUUUACCACGUUGGCCAGGCUGGUCUCGAGCUACUGACCUCGUGAUCCUCCUGGACCUCUGAAAGUGCUGGGAUUACAGGUGUGAGCCACCAAGCCCAGCCGAUCCUUUUAAGUUUUUAAGCCAAUUAAGCUCUCUGGUUCCCCUUCAGAGUCCCAAGGUCCCGGGUCACUCAGGAUCGUAUUUUUAUCAGUUGUCACUGGUCCCCUUUUGUCCCUUUGAAUUUGCUAGAUUAGUAGCAUCUGGGUGCUGGAAGAAGGACUGGCGAGGAUCUCAGGUGAAAUACCCUCCCUGGCCUUCCUUACCCUUAAGAUCUCCCUGAAAAGUAAGACGUUGGUACCUGGAGUGUGAGAUGCAUUCCAGUAAACCCAGACCUACCAGAGGGACCCACAUCUGAAGAACCUGUGACUGGCCACACCCUUAGCCUAAUGGAGGGGGCCUCAGAAGCAGAACUACCUUUUUUUUUUUUUUUUUUUUAAUGGUAUUAUAUUUUGCAAAUGGGAUGGUAGACUCUGGGUCCUUUUGCCAACAUAGCAGAGCUGGGGUUUGAAUCCUAGUCAGUCAACACUUCAACCCCUAUGUUGCUGUUUCUUCAGUGUGUACAAUGUUCUGAUAGAUGAAGCAAUGGUAGGUCAGCAGCAGACCAAUCCCCAACCUACCUAGCCUGUGUAGGCCUUGGCCACAUGAGCAUUCUCUUCCCUUGAAGUGAUCUAAUGGGGGACGGGAUAUCUGUCUCGCUGGUUAUGAGAAAAGCUGAGCUAGGUGCUCUCCUAAGUUGCUUAAGUGUCUUCUGAAUUGACGCCCAGUCAGUAUUGAAUGGGGAAAGGUUUUUCCAAAGCAGAAGGUUCUGUGGAGGCACAAAUACUUCACUGGAGAGCAAAGGAGUAAGAGUAGGAGCUGGGGCCCAGGCGCAGUGGCUCACGCCUGUAAUCCCAGGACUUUGGGAGGCCGAGGUGGGCAGAUCACCUGAGGUCAGGAGUUCGAGACCAGGCUGACCAACAUGGAGAAACCCCGCCUCUACUAAAAAUACAAAAUUAGCUAGGCGUGGUGGCACGCGCCUGUAGUCCCAGCGGCUCUUGAGUAGUCCUCGAGAGGCUGAGGCAGGAGAAUCGCUUGGACCCGGGAGGCAGAGAUGGCAGUGAGCCGAGAUUGCACCAUUGCACUCCAGCCUGGGUAACUCCAGCCAACAAGAACGAAACUCUUGUCUCAAAAAAAAAAAAAAAAA
ensembl:lincRNA